AGAAGUGGUUCAUCAAAUGAAUCAAAUCAAAUAAAACUCUGUAUUUUCAAAACCAAAUAUGAACACAUUGUCGUAGAUCUUUCCACUCCUUGCGCUAGUUCGUGUGUACUGUGUACUAAUAUCAUAAACGACUGGGGCUGAAUCAAAACUGGUUUACACCUGAGAGGGCAAAUAAAAUAUGCUUUAAAAACAAGAAAGAUUGUAGAAUCAAUUUGGAAGCCUGUCGAUGACUCUCCUUCAACACGAAUUCCACUGUGCAAGCGCGGGCUUUCUACUUGCAAUUACGUGCAAAAUUGGCUUAUUUGAUGCGUUUGGUAGGGAUGUGGUUAAAGGAAAUCAAAUCAGUUGUUCAGGAGUAAUGGAGCGUGUUUAUGUUGAUGACAGGUGUUCCAGAAGUAUUCAGUAAUUUCUUGUUACCAAAAUAUGAAAUCAAAUCAGUGCUACUGCUCCUCGAGGCUCUAGUACACAAAGAAGAAUUAAAGGUUUGGCUAGGAUUUUGACUGGUCAAGACUGAUCAGGGGAAGAUAAUGUGGUAAGAGAAGUGAAUGGAGUAUGCCAUUGGGUUACUAUCAGAUAUUUGUGUCCUAAAGAAGCAUAAUAUUGGCAUGGUUGAGAAGCUAGGAACUGCCAAAGGUGCUAUCUCAGCAUUAAUUACAUCGCAGAAUUGUGGCGGUUUGGGGGAUUUGUUGUUGUUGCUUCAAUGAACAAAGAAAAGAAUAUCCCUAAGGACGAUAAAAGUUCACUUGGUCAGGAAGAUGAAGUCUGAUGCAGUAAAGGAUUAGAAUCAAGGAAUAUUGACUAGAGAAGAUGCUAUUUUCUACCAUGCAACCAACAGAUGUGCAUGCUCACACAGACGCACAACAGAGACAGGAACACACUGUCUUAUACACGCACAAAAUGAGGCUCGUGUCCAAAAGGAUAAAGAGGGGGGCGCUAUAUAGUGCAGGGGGCGAUGAUCACUUUUUGAGAUAUUAGUGAGAGUUCUCAAUCUGGGGACUGGAGAGUAGUAGAGUUGUGUAAUAGAGCACUGUUAAACGUGUUAUUCCCUUGUGUGAUUAAAAAAGAGGUUCCCACA